rnacentral:rRNA from 1 species
UACGUAGGGGGCAAGCGUUGUCCGGAGUUACUGGGCGUAAAGCGCACGCAGGCGGUCGAUUAAGUUUGGAGUGACAGUUGGUGGCUUAACUGCCAAAGUGCUUCGAAAACUGAUCGACUUGAGGGCUUCAGAGGGACACGGAAUUCCGGGUGGAGUGGUGAAAUGCGUAGAGAUCCGGAGGAACACCGAAGGCGAAGGCGGUUCUCUGGGCCGUACCUGACGCUGAGGAGCGAAAGCGUGGGGAGCGAACAGG